UUCGACGCAACGCGCAGAACCUUUACCUAGGCUUGACAUCCCGGGGAUUUUCUGGAAACAGAGAAGUGCUUUAGCAAUAAAGAACCCGGUGACAGGUUGCUGCAUGGCUGUCGUCAGCUCGUGUCGUGAGAUGUUGGGUUAAGUCCCGCAACGAGCGCAACCCUCGCCUUUAGUUGCCAGCAUUCAGUUGGGCACUCUAGAGGGACUGCCGGUGUCAAACCGGAGGAAGGUGGGAUGACGUCAAGUCCUCAUGGCCUUUAUGUCUAGGGCUACACACGUACUACAAUGGCCGGUACAAAGGGCAGCCACUCAGCGAUGAGGCGCUAAUCCCAUAAAGCCGGUCUCAGUCCGGAUCGCAGUCUGCAACUCGACUGCGUGAAGUUGGAAUCGCUAGUAAUCGUAGAUCAGUAUGCUACGGUGAAUACGUUCCCGGGCCUU
rnacentral:rRNA from 1 species